rnacentral:tRNA from 1 species
GGUUCCAUAGUGUAGUGGUUAACACGUCUGCUUUAAAUGCAGAAGGUCCUGGGUUCA